rnacentral:rRNA from 1 species
GAUGAACGCUGGCGGCGUGCCUAAUACAUGCAAGUCGAGCGAACAGACGAGGAGCUUGCUCCUCUGACGUUAGCGGCGGACGGGUGAGUAACACGUGGAUAACCUACCUAUAAGACUGGGAUAACUUCGGGAAACCGGAGCUAAUACCGGAUAAUAUAUUGAACCGCAUGGUUCAAUAGUGAAAGACGGUUUUGCUGUCACUUAUAGAUGGAUCCGCGCCGCAUUAGCUAGUUGGUAAGGUAACGGCUUACCAAGGCAACGAUGCGUAGCCGACCUGAGAGGGUGAUCGGACACACUGGAACUGAGACACGGUCCAGACUCCUACGGGAGGCAGCAGUAGGGAAUCUUCCGCAAUGGGCGAAAGCCUGAAGGAGCAACGCCGCGUGAGUGAUGAAGGUCUUCGGAUCGUAAAACUCUGUUAUUAGGGAAGAACAAAUGUGUAAGUAACUAUGCACGUCUUGACGGUACCUAAUCAGAAAGCCACGGCUAACUACGUG